AUGCAGAAUUUCAUUCCAUUGAAUCACAUUUCAAUUUUUUUUCCUGCUCAGAAUUCAAAUACUCUGAGAGAACAUUUGAGUUGUACGACACUGACAGAACAGCAGAAACAUUUUGUGGCUUUUCUGACUUGCUUUUCGGUUAUGCCCUUACGUGCCUUCAGGUCUUUGCUGGUAACUGAAUCAAGACAGAUUUCAACCAACUGCAUGACAGCAGCAUCAUCAGCCUGCAAUCCACUGAGGCUUUCUCAAAGGCCCUCCAAUGGCUUUGCAGUUCCUGAUGACAUCCAAACAUCAAGGCAAGGAUGCCGUGUUUCUAUCGGACACCAAAGGAGAGAUUGGCUUCAAGUGAGGCAUGAGUGGGAUGCAAAAACAAAAUAGAAAAUCUGGAACACCUUCUCUUUUGCCUCCCCAAGCCUGGCUGGGGAGUGCUGUAAGACUCGAGGGUGUUUUCUGAUCUCCUCAUUGGAACCAUCUGACAUGGAUGAAACACACUGCAUGUCACAAGAGCUGGAAUGAUGGAACCUAUGGGAUAGACAAGUUAAUCUAGUAACAAUUAAAACACUUGUUGAAGUAGUCCAGAAAAAGCAUAGAGAAGAAGAAAAAUACUAGAAAAUAAUAUUGUACUACAAAGUCUUUUGGGUUUUUUUUAAUAUGUACACCAGGUAUGUAAAUUUUUGUAGCUGUAAAGAAGCUCGGCUUCAUCAGGCUUGUGAAACCAGUUUGGUUGCAGAGUUUCAGAGGCAUCCUUAGGCAUCUCAGGCAUACAUACUCAUAAUUUUCCUGGCUUUCUCUUGAUUUUACCCUUUUAAAUGCAUUUUCAGGUCUCACUCUACCUGAAUAGUGUUUGUGAACUAUAUGCCAAGCAACAUUAAAAUGCAUAAAAUUGCUGCUUCUUCUGUAUUUUCCACAUUUCCCACAAAAAACCCAACACAAGGCAAUGUUUUGGUCCAGUGCUCAACCAAAAAAUGCUUUUGUAAGGCUUUAGGAAAAGACACACUUAAUAAACACACCUUAAAGGUCCAUUAGGGAAUAGAGAGCAGAGCUGUCCACUUCAUCCCCAAACUUUAGGCAGUCUUCAGAAUAUACUGAGAUGCAUAUAUCACAUGUAAAAGUAACAAAGGGAACCACUGCAGAGAUGUGAAAUGUGAGCAGUGAUAGGGGCAAGGUGAUCUUGGGUGUUAUCCAUGGAAGCAGCCAGAGAGAGCUGUGGGUGGGUUGUUGGCUGUUCUGGAGGUUUUGUUUUUCAAUCAAGACCAGAUCCUCAAGAGGUUAAGUGUUACACAUAAAAGGCUUGGAUAAAGUAUUUGCUCUCUUAGGUUGAAGUACUCAGUUGGACAGCAGAGGGGGUAAUUCUAUACAUCCAAGGAAAAGUCAUUCCAUCAGCAAAAGGAAGGCCUGGAAUGAAGCUGUCAUAAAAGGAACAGAUCAAUACGCAGUGAUGGCUGCUGUCAGUGAGAGCACAGAUGAGCACAGAUCAGCAUUGCAAGAACAUGAAAGGAGAGAAGAGUCAUGAAAUAUCCCACAGUAAAACAUACUGAAGCAGUAACACAGACUUCAAAGAAUGAACACUGUUUCUUUUGGGGUUCUGUACUGCAAAGGUGAAGUUAUUGCUGUGAUUUCAAACACUUGAAGGGACAGGGAAGAACUUUCUGAUCUCUAAAGAGUGUGAACCAAGAGGCACCCAUGGAAGUGUUUGUCACGACUUAACACUUUUAAAGCAUCCCCUGUGUCUAACAUGAUCCACAAGGAAAGGUACUUAACUCUUCAAAAGCUCUCCAUCGUCUCUCUCAUGACUCCAUCUCUCAAACUCUCAGUAACUUGCUUCAUUUUUCUGGAAGUUACAUAGCUAUUUGAAAAUGCUUAGUAAUUUGCGAAAAGGAAACUACUAUGAACAUAACAAGACUGAACUUAUGUUUUACUAAACUACUGGUUAGUAGCUGCAGUGAGUUUAGGCGGUUGGAUGUUGUCAAAUACUAAGAAAUGCCUACCAGGCCAACACAAUGGCUCAGAGGUUUCUAGAACACAUCUUGCCUCAACUGCUAAGAAGGCAUUAGCAAAGCCAUGAUAAACACACGUCUUCUUGCGCUGCAUGUAAAGCUACAGCUAAGUCAAACACUGAAAUAGUUGUAAAGCAGACAGGUGAAGUAAAUAACAGAGAAAGUCUGUUAGUAGCUCAGCUUUAUCAGGAUUUUAAACUGAUAAAUCAUACCUUGCUUACCUGACUAAGAACAACCAACACAUACUGCCAAGAAGGCAGGACACAAACUCUCUUUUGGCCACAGAAGCUCAAGUGACAAAAAUUUCUGUUUCUUUUAAUUGGAAUAUACAUAGAGUAGUAAUGAUGAAUUUUGAAACCUCUCUUCCUUGAAGACACUGAUAAAAAAAGCAACUAUAAGUACUAGGGACAAUGCAACAAAAAUUAUAACUUUCUGUUGAUCUAUUAACUCUUUUGUUUCCCACAUCUUCAAGAAAUAUAUUGAAUGUUUUAGGGAGGUUGUAAGCUAUGCCUGAGAGCAUUAUCAUUCACCAGUUCACAUGAAAUUUUUGCAGAAAUCAGAUCUCAAAAUCUUUGAGCAAUCAAAAGGCUUUUAAGUUGGCCUUUAAUUCUAAUUAAAAUGCUUAUGCCUACAUAUUUAAGUCAGCAAGAUUAAGUGAUUAAAUCUUCAUACCUACAGAAAAAGUCAGACAUGACUACUCCUUGGAUAUCACUUACUAAUCUUUGGAAACCUGAUUUAGAUUUCAUAAAAGAGGAUAAGUUGUUCUGUUACAGAUUUCAUGGAGCUGCAGCAAUGCAGCUUUGACAGUCACCUCUCCUCACAGUCUGCAUCUCUGCACAGCACAAACGACAGAUUGCUGCAUUCAGCCUCAGGAAAGGAACUCACUGUUUCACAUUCCAGAACCUGGCUCGUUAUUGUUAAGUCUUUAUCAAAAGCAUGAAACCUAUGAAUAAAUUAUGUUAUGAACAGAAGUUUUGGCAAGACAAAGACGACACUUCACGCAGCAGUUAAUAUAAAGAGAGGAUAAUAGUCCUGCCAAAGACAAUAAAUACUAGAAGAAAUGGAUUUCAGUUUUACAGGCCCUGAGCAAUAUUGCUGGUGUUCAUUUUAAGAUCUGCUUCUACAACACAAUUCCCUUAAGAUUGCUCUUAAAUGUGAAAAGGAUGGAUGCUUUUGUUUUGGGAUCAUUCAAAAUGUUGGAAUUGCAAACCACAGGCUUGAACUGAGGUGAGAGUUAACAUCACUUUGCCACUAAUUUCUUUCAACUGCAUCCUUCUCUUUCUUGAUCUCCCUUCCCCCCACUAAAAACAUCUCCAGGCAUUACUAUCAAAAAUAUACUCAUGCAAUAAAUCAUGUAUUUGCUCUCACAUGACUCGUAUUCAUUAGAGUCAAAGAUCUCCAA
rnacentral:lncRNA from 13 species